rnacentral:rRNA from 1 species
AGAGUUUGAUCCUGGCUCAGAUUGAACGCUGGCGGCAGGCCUAACACAUGCAAGUCGAGCGGUAGCACAGGAGAGCUUGCCCUCUGGGUGACGAGCGGCGGACGGGUGAGUAAUGUCUGGGAGACUGCCUGAUGGAGGGGGAUAACUACUGGAAACGGUAGCUAAUACCGCAUGACCUCGCAAGAGCAAAGUGGGGGACCUUCGGGCCUCACGCCAUUGGAUGUGCCCAGAUGGGAUUAGCUAGUAGGUGGGGUAAUGGCUCACCUAGGCGACGAUCCCUAGCUGGUCUGAGAGGAUGACCAGCCACACUGGAACUGAGACACGGUCCAGACUCCUACGGGAGGCAGCAGUGGGGAAUAUUGUACAAUGGGCGCAAGCCUGAUGCAGCCAUGCCGCGUGUGUGAAGAAGGCCUUAGGGUUGUAAAGCACUUUCAGCGAGGAGGAAGGCGCUGUAUUUAAUACCUGCAGCGAUUGACGUUACUC